rnacentral:tRNA from 1 species
GCCGGAGUGGCGGAAUUGGCAGACGCAGGAGACUCAAAAUCUCCCGGGGUUCACGCCCCGUGUGGGUUCGAGUCCCACCUCCGGCA